rnacentral:rRNA from 1 species
GCCCAACAGCUAGCCCACUCAACCAAAACUACCCCGCCCCUAUCAAGCACUUCUUUACUCACUAGUAUAGACCAAACAAACCAUUUUUCCUCCUUAGUACGGGCGACGGAAAAGGACAGACAGGAGCAAUAGAAAAUAGUACCGCAAGGGAAAACUGAAAGAGGAAUGAAACAACUACCCCAAGCCCAAAGAAGCAGAGCUUAGCCCUCGUACCUUUUGCAUCAUGACUAAGCCAGUAUACUGAAGCAAAGUGCCCCUUUAGUUCUUUACCCCGAAACUAGACGAGCUACUCCGAGACAGUCUAUUACAGGACCAACCCGUCUCUGUGGCAAAAGAGUGGGAAGAUCUCUGAGUAGAGGUGACAGACCUACCGAGCCUAGUUAUAGCUGGUUGUCUAGGAAAUGAAUAGAAGUUCAGCCCUCCAGCCUGCCCCACCCCGAAUGCACCUAGCACACUCGGCACCAACCCGGGGCCUAACUUGGAAGCGUUAGUCAAAGAAGGUCCAGCUUCUUUGAACAAAGAUACAACUUUUUAAGGAGGCUAAAGAUCAUAAUUUAAUAAGGUAAAAUGUCAUAGUGGGCCUAAAAGCAGCCACCUAAGCAAAAAGCGUUAAAGCUUACACAAAUUUAACUCAGCCUCUAAUUAUGAUACAGUUAUCUUACCCCCCUAAACUUACUAGACCAUUUCAUGCCCCCAUGAAAGAGACCAUGCUUACAUGAGUAAUAAGAGGGCCCGACCCUCUCCCCGCACACAUUUAAGUCGGAUCGGACCCACCACCGACGCUUAACGACCCCAAAACCAAGAGGGCACUGAACCUCGACCCCGGUUUAACCAGAAAGACACUCAGCUAAACCAAUCGUUAAACCCACACUGGUGUGCUCUUACCGGGAAAGACAUAAAGAUAAGAAAGGAACUCGGCAAACACAAGCCUCGCCUGUUUACCAAAAACAUCGCCUCUUGCAAGCAACAGAAUAAGAGGUCCCGCCUGCCCUGUGACUGUAAAGUUUAACGGCCGCGGUAUUUUGACCGUGCGAAGGUAGCGCAAUCACUUGUCCUUUAAAUGAGGACCUGUAUGAAUGGCAUAACGAGGGCUUAACUGUCUCCCUUAUCUAGUCAGUGAAAUUGAUCUCCCCGUGCAGAAGCGGGGAUAGCAUCAUAAGACGAGAAGACCCUAUGGAGCUUUAGACAACCGAACGGCCCACACCAAACAACUCCGAUCACAACCGGACUAACCAUUUAGUGGUGCCUCCGUUUUAUGUCUUUGGUUGGGGCGACCAUGGGGAAAAGAAAAUCCCCCAUGAGGAACGAGGGCCACCCCCUUAUAGCCAAGAGCUACAACUCGAAGCAUCAGAACCUCUGACCCUAAUGAUCCGGCCCCCCGGCCGAUCAACGAACCGAGUUACCCUAGGGAUAACAGCGCAAUCUCCUCUCAGAGCCCAUAUCGACGAGGAGGUUUACGACCUCGAUGUUGGAUCAGGACAUCCUAAUGGUGCAGCCGCUAUUAAGGGUUCGUUUGUUCAACGAUUAACAGUCCUACGUGAUCUGAGUUCAGACCGGAGUAAUCCAGGUCAGUUUCUAUCUAUGAACCUUUGCUCUUUUCUAGUACGAAAGGACCGAAAAGAGAGGGCCCAUGCCACUGGUAUGCCCCUCCAUCACCUGAUGAAAACAACUAAAACAGGCAAGACGGCAAACCCCCUAGCCCGGGCCGGAAAUGACGGCUGU